rnacentral:rRNA from 1 species
AUUGAACGCUGGCGGCAGGCCUAACACAUGCAAGUCGAGCGGAUGAAGGGAGCUUGCUCCUGGAUUCAGCGGCGGACGGGUGAGUAAUGCCUAGGAAUCUGCCUGGUAGUGGGGGAUAACGUCCGGAAACGGGCGCUAAUACCGCAUACGUCCUGAGGGAGAAAGUGGGGGAUCUUCGGACCUCACGCUACCAGAUGAGCCUAGGUCGGAUUAGCUAGUUGGUGGGGUAAAGGCCUACCAAGGCGACGAUCCGUAACUGGUCUGAGAGGAUGAUCAGUCACACUGGAACUGAGACACGGUCCAGACUCCUACGGGAGGCAGCAGUGGGGAAUAUUGGACGAUGGGCGAAAGCCUGAUCCAGCCAUGCCGCGUGUGUGAAGAAGGUCUUCGGAUUGUAAAGCACUUUAAGUUGGGAGGAAGGGCAGUAAGUUAAUACCUUGCUGUUUUGACGUUACCAACAGAAUAAGCACCGGCUAACCUCGUG